CCCUUAGAUGUCCGGGGCCGCACGCGCGCUACACUGAAGGAAUCAGCGUGGCUUUCUCCCUGACCCGAAAGGGUUGGGAAACCCGUUGAAUCUCCUUCGUGAUAGGGAUUGGGGCUUGAAAUUGUUCCCCAUGAACGAGGAAUUCCCAGUAAGCGCGAGUCAUAAGCUCGCGUUGAUUACGUCCCUGCCCUUUGUACACACCGCCCGUCGCUACUACCGAUUGAACGGUUUAGUGAGGGCCUCGGAUUGGUCUCGGCCCGCUCUUUACCGGGCGGCGCCGUUGGUCGAGAAGACGCUCGAACUCGAUCGUUUAGAGGAAGUAAAAGUCGUAACA
rnacentral:rRNA from 1 species